rfam:Chlorocebus sabaeus isolate 1994-021 chromosome 5, whole genome shotgun sequence.
GCUAGGCGCAGUGGCUCAUGCCUGUAGUCCCAGCACUUUGGGAGGCCGAGAUGGGCGGAUCACGAGGUCAGGAGAUCGAGACCAUCCUGGCUAACACGGUGAAACCCCGUCUCUACUAGAGACGGGGUUUCACCGUGUUAGCCAGGAUGGUCUCGAUCUCCUGACCUCGUGAUCCGCCCAUCUCGG